rnacentral:rRNA from 1 species
CCUACGGGAUGCAGCAGUGAGGAAUAUUGGUCAAUGGCCGUAAGGCUGAACCAGCCAAGUAGCGUGAGGGAAGACUGCCCUAUGGGUUGUAAACCUCUUUUACGCGGGGAUAAAGGUGUCCACGUGUGGAUGUUUGCAGGUACCGCAUGAAUAAGGACCGGCUAAUUCCGUGCCAGCAGCCGCGGUAAUACGGAAGGUCCGGGCGUUAUCCGGAUUUAUUGGGUUUAAAGGGAGCGUAGGCCGGUCUUUAAGCGUGCCGGGAAAUUUUGUGGCUCAACCAUGAGAGUGCGGCGCGAACUGGAGACCUUGAGUGCGCGGAAGGCAGGCGGAAUUCGUGGUGUAGCGGUGAAAUGCUUAGAUAUCACGAAGAACCCCGAUUGCGAAGGCAGCCUGCCGCAGCGUUACUGACGCUGAAGCUCGAAAGCGCGGGUAUCGAACAGGAUUAGAUACCCUAGUAGUC